AGGAAUGUAGCUAGCUAUGCAAACAGAAAGUACAGCCCAUGGAAGAUGGUUCUGAAGGCAGCCGCCCAAAGGAGAUGAGACCACAAGAGCUGGUAAGACUUUCAACCAGAACCCAGCCUCGAUCCCUCCAUGGAAGAUGAGCUAGGUCACCACUGACCUGGCAUGAAUAGGAGCCAGUCAGCAAGAGGGGCACCUGGAAGAGUGCUGGAGAAGGAAAAUGGUUACGUCUAAAGGUGAGAGAGAGCAUGACAUGGAAGACGAGGCAGGUAGGAGCAGAAGGAUGAGACCGAGCCAAGGACGGUGCGAGAACCCGGAUGCUGGGCUGGGUUUUCCAGCCUCUCUCCAAGAGAGAGUGUUUCUCAAAGUGGAGCCUAGGUUAGGAAUUUAUACUAUUUUUGUGUGGUGGGUUUUGGGGGCUUCUAACUUUAUGCCUGUUUGUUUUUUAACUUUAUGCUACUUGUAGUUUGUUGGGGCUUGGGGAUUUGGGGUCUGGUUUUGGUUUUUUGACAAGGUCUCAUUACCAUAAUCAGAGCAGGUCUGGAACUUGCUACAUAGACCAGGUUGGCCUCGAACUCAGAGAAUUCCACCUGCCACUCUCUUUUGAGUGCUAAGAUUAAAGGUGUGUAUCACCCUG
rnacentral:lncRNA from 1 species